UACGUAGGGUGCGAGCGUUAAUCGGAAUUACUGGGCGUAAAGAGUGCGUAGGCGGUUCGUUAUGUCUGCUGUGAAAGCCCCGGGCUUAACCCGGGAAUGGCAGUGGAAACUGGCGGGCUUGAGUGUGGCAGAGGGGGGUGGAAUUCCGCGUGUAGCAGUGAAAUGCGUAGAGAUGCGGAGGAACACCGAUGGCGAAGGCAGCCGCCUGGGCUAACACUGACGCUGAGGCACGAAAGCGUGGGGAGCAAACAGG
rnacentral:rRNA from 1 species